UAAUGUCUAAAACUCAAAACCAAGUCACAUUGCACACGAAAGUAUUAGAGGUCCUGCACUCCUGCCAUGGUUGUAAAGAAAGCAUUGGCAUGAAAAUCCUCGUUUACAAUGUCUGUUAGUGUUUUUGACUUUAUCGCUUCUAGCCUCUGGACUCUGGACUCUGGCGGACUGCAACUUUGAACAGCUUUUGAAGGAAAAUAUCGUUUAAUUUAAUGGCCAGGCAGGCCAGCAAACUAAAUAAAGUUUCUCAUCGACGCCCAAUCCGCUCAACGGCCAACACCUCCGCGUCAUCUGGACACUUUGGAGUGGAAACCCCAAAGGACUAAUUGGACCGCUC